UACGGAGGGUGCAAGCGUUGUUCGGAAUUACUGGGCGUAAAGAGCGUGUAGGCGGCCGAUCAAGUCCGGUGUGAAAGCCCGGGGCUUACCCCCGGAAGUGCGCUGGAAACUGAUUGGCUCGAGUAUGGGAGAGGGAAGUGGAAUUCCUGGUGUAGCGGUGAAAUGCGUAGAUAUCAGGAGGAACACCGGCGGCGAAGGCGGCUUCCUGGACCAAUACUGACGCUGAGACGCGAAAGCGUGGGGAGCAAACAGG
rnacentral:rRNA from 1 species